UCCCUGUAGAGCACAUUUUUCUUAGACACAUUUUAGUUAUGGCUGUGGUUUUGCUAACACAUCAGUGGCUGAAUGAGCAGUGUUCGAAGCCGCUGUCUUGAACCUCUGCUUAGCGACAGAAGCAACGACUUCCGAGUUCCGACCACUCGCAGGUUUUCAAGAACUGCCGUCCCUGCGCGGCUGCCCUGGCCAUACACGGUUUGCAGCACACCUGCAGCGGCGCCCUAUCAUUGUGGCCACCAUUCAUUUUGGCCACCAUUAUUUUGGCCACCAAUCAUUUUGGCCACCCGUCAUUUUGGCCAACUAAGAAACUUAGAAACCUAAAAACCUAAGAAUCUAAGAAGCCUAACAAAACCUAAGAACCUAAGAAACCUAAGAAACCUAAAAAAACUAAGAAACCUGGGGUGGCCAAAAUGAGUGGCCAAAAUGAAUGGACACCUUUGCGGCUAGUGCAUUUGAUUGCUUGCACACUUUCAUCUGUUUUUUUCAUUUGUUAUUUUGUCACUCCUUGUGCGCCAUGGCGGUUCGGCGAGGAUUUCGUUUUCCUCAAAAAGUCAGUUGGGCUCCUGCCUCUGCGAUGCCCACGACGACUCCAUCUCCCAGUCCCAGCAGCCCGCCCGCCGUCCGCAGCACCAGCGCCAACAGCUACACCCCACAACGAAGAUCUUUAUGACGGCGGAGGAAACCCGUACAGCACAGCAGCCGUUCUGGGAUACUGCGCGCUGGCGGCACUGCUUGUGCUGCUGCUGUAGCUGUACGAGGUUUCCCGAUGGCUUCGCGGAAAACGAGUGCCAUUGCGGGCUGCUGGCGAUGGAUCUCCAUCCUCGUCGACGUCCUCGUUGGACCGAGCCACCUUUGUGCCCAAAGAGGACAGUUCUGCUGCGGCACCGACGCAGCGUGAGCCCUCCAAAGGGUGAACAAUCGGAGUCUCCCCCCAGCCUGAAUAUUAAUUUACUGAGUUUCCUGGAUUAAGAUCAUUAAGGGAGUGGAACAGUAUUCUCACCACGGAAGCCUACUUCCCCGAUGCCAGUUUUCUAUAAUAAUUGUAAUUUGUUUGAUAAAUUUUGGCGAUUGCGGCUGCGCACUGUGGGAAUGUUACAAGCUUCUGCCUUCUGGUAUUUUUUAAUUUUAUCGGUGUUACAGUGUACAGUAUUUUAGGCUUACGGGCGGUAUUGUUGUUUUUACAAAGUAGAGUGAAUAAACGUAAAA